AAUUAAUCUGCCAAGAGCUGACUUGAUAAGCUGAAUUUUAAUGUUUUGCAGGUAAAGAAUAUCAUGUACCAUGCUGUAAAGGAUGCAUUGGCCGUGCUCAAUAACGCUGAACCAGAGGAAGACUAGGUUAAACGGGAACCAGUCAAGUGAGGCGAACUGUGAUGUCACAACAUCAGGAGUUCAGUGAGUGCUGGGACAGCCUCCAGGAGCAUGGAACCCACAACAGGAAUGUUAUAUAUGGACCACAGUGAGAUAUCUUGGAACAAUAGACUCUGUAAAUAAGGUUCUCAAGGAGUGAUAGUGCAAGAUUCUCUCUCAACACUGGAAUCAAUACAUUUCAUUCUGUGCUAAGUGACACAAAAACUCUUCAGGCCAAAAUUUGAUUUCCAAUGAUAAGGGCCUCAACCAAACAUAUCAUGAACCGGAGAAUGAUUACCCGAGGUAGAACAGCCCGAGGAGUUACAGAAUUACAGGAGUUACAGAAUUACACAUUACCCCGCUCUGUGAUAAUACUACUGCUGCAGCUGUUAACACUGCCAAGGACGAAUCAUGUGCUCAGCACCAAAAGCAGGGGUGCUGCACAGCACAAAAAGCAGAAAAAGUGCUGCGUUAGAGAUACUCAUCAACCAUUGGAUGACAGACAGAGUGCUAUGCUAUUUUAUGCUAUUUAUGGAUUUUCUAUUUUCUGCAGAAUAAUGAAAUAGUUUGUUGUCUUUUAUUUUUUUGUGAAUUUUGACUGAUCCAAGUGGAUCCGAUGUAGAAAUACCUAGCUUGGAGCAGACACAUUUUGAUCUCAUGACUUUUGUUCUGUAUAUCAGGGAGUUACGUACCGAUCUAAUACGACCUUGUCAGUGACCUUUGGAGGUGAAGGUCACUCUGAAAGACAAUAGACUUCGUAUAGAGUUGGUACAUGGAUUUCGGUUCCUCGUUGCAAAGGAAGGAAUCCGCUGACCGCCUUCACUGUGUGCCCGUCUUUGGGGGAAGAUGGAGCAGACAGUGUAGUCGGGAACUUGUGUGUAAUGACUUGUUGACAAUAAACAGAUUAUAUGUAUGUAGCACUAGCAGAGUGCUGGAGCUGGCCACUCUUCAUCCACACAAACCAUUAUCAUAGAGCGACCAGCUCCAGCUCUCUUGGCCGCCCCGACAGGGGGCCUCUCUUUCCUCAUUCUGUUCUGAUGUUUAAAUUUUAUUGCUAUGAGUUGUUGAUGUCUUAGAUAUAUAUAUGAUAAUGCAGAUUGCUUUUUUCAGCCAGAUGCGAGUCAUUUUCUUUUCUGUUUGUGUAUGGGCUUGUAUUGGCUGAUAUAUAUAUAUAUUAUAUAUACUUAUAUUGAAUAUAUUCUAUAUAGAAGUAACAUUGAAAAAUACAGAGAAAAAUGCC
rnacentral:misc_RNA from 1 species